GGGCGACUAGCUCAGUGGUUUAGAGCGCUGCUCUGAUAAAGCAGAGGUCCGUGGUUCGAUUCCACGGUCGCCCA
rnacentral:tRNA from 1 species